AACGUAGGAGACAAACGUUAUCCGGAGUUACUGGGCGUAAAGGGCGUGUAGGUGGUUUCGUAAGUCUGGCGUGAAAUUUCUCGGCUUAACCGGGAAAGGUCGUCGGAUACUGCAGAACUAGAGGACGGUAGAGGCGUGUGGAAGUUCCGGGUGUAGUGGUGAAAUGCGUAGAGAUCCGGAGGAACACCAGUGGCGAAGGCGACACGCUGGGCCGUACCUGACACUGAUGCGCGACAGCAUGGGGAGCAAACAGG
rnacentral:rRNA from 1 species